rnacentral:tRNA from 1 species
GGAAUUGUAGCUUUAAACGGAAGAGCGUCGUGUUGCCAACACCGAAGGUUGGAGGUUCGAGUCCUCCCAAUUUCCACCA